rnacentral:rRNA from 1 species
CCUACGGGUGGCAGCAGUGAGGAAUAUUGGUCAAUGGGCGGGAGCCUGAACCAGCCAAGCCGCGUGAGGGAAGAAGGUACUGUGGAUUGUAAACCUCUUUUGCCGGGGGACAAAGCCGGCGACGGGUGGCCGUAAGCGGGUACCUGAAGAAAAAGCAUCGGCUAACUCCGUGCCAGCAGCCGCGGUAAUACGGAGGAUGCGAGCGUUAUCCGGAUUUAUUGGGUUUAAAGGGUGCGUAGGCGGUGCGUCAAGUCAGCGGUAAAAUUGCGGGGCUCAACCCUGGCGGGCCGUUGAAACUGGCGUGCUCGAGUUGGAGAGAAGUAUGCGGAAUUCGUGGUGUAGCGGUGAAAUGCAUAGAUAUCACGAAGAACCCCGAGUGCGAAGGCAGCGUACCGGCUCCAGACUGACGCUGAGGCACGAAAGCGUGGGGAUCGAACAGGAUUAGAUACCCGGGUAGUC